CGGGUGAGAGUAGAGUGGCGCACGGGUGAGUAACGCGUGGGAACCUGCCAAGCAGUACGGAAUAACCUUUGGAAACGAAGGCUAAUACCGUAUACGCCCUUCGGGGGAAAGAUUUAUCGCUGUUUGAUGGUCCCGCGUCUGAUUAGCUAGUUGGUAAGGUAAUGGCUUACCAGGGCUACGAUCAGUAGCUGGUCUGAGAGGAUGAUCAGCCACACUGGAACUGAGACACGGUCCAG
rnacentral:rRNA from 1 species